CCCGCCGUAGCUCAGGGGGCAGAGUGCCUGGCCCUGGGGCCAGGAGGACGCCGGUUCGAACCCGGCCGGCGGGU
rnacentral:tRNA from 1 species